rnacentral:lncRNA from 1 species
AUUCAGAUGUCGUAGCACAAAACACCAUGAGAUUAGACGCACCUACGACUAGUACAAUGAGAUCAGAUGCACCCGCUUUUCACCCGACAUUCAGUGCACCACCAUCUGAACAGUUCUUAUCACCAAAGCAGGCUCCUACACGCAGGCGAGACCCCUCUCCAACGAGUGAGCCAGACAUCGCAGACUACUAUGAUCCGGAAAUGUUUCAAACCAGACGCAUGACUCGAUCAAUGUCUAUGUACUACCACCCGAAGAUUUACCCUCGGGAAUACCCUUGAGUACCUUUCAUUAGUUUUUGUUCGUGUCUUGUUUAGUGUGAUUGCAUUUCAUCUUCAAAUAUUUGUUACAAUUUACAUUUGCUGGAGGUCAGGUCCAUGCCCCCCUCCUCUAUUUGUUUUCCCGCUUUUCAUUAUAUAAAAUAAACCACACUAGUGGUAUUUGCUUAAAAAAAAA